CCGCCGUCCUUGGGGGAGUAGUCUCCGACGAGCGCCCUGCUCGUCCGGCAUGCGUCAACACACUUGGUCCGCAGACCAUGGCGCAUGCGACCGGCCAGCCUAGCAAUAGCGCAUGGCCCGGUU
rnacentral:sRNA from 2 species